rnacentral:tRNA from 1 species
GGGAAUGUGGCUCAGUGGUAGAGUGCUUGUCUAGCAUGUAUGAAGCUAGAUGUUCAAUUUCUCAGUACCA